rnacentral:piRNA from 1 species
UCCAGUGGUGAUCUAGGAUAAAAGCCUGAGA